CUGGUCACUCCAAUGUCCCCAGGACUGGUCACUGCAGGGUCACACCCCCAGGGUCCCCAGGACUGGUCACUCCAAUGUCCCCAGGACUGGUCACUGCAGGGUCACUCCCAUGUCCCCAGGACUGGUCACUCCAAUGUCCCCAGGACUGGUCACUGCAGGGUCACUCCAGUGUCCCCAGGAGCGACUGGACUGGUCACUCCAGUGUCCCCAGG